rnacentral:rRNA from 1 species
GGACUGAGACACGGCCCAGACUCCUACGGGAGGCAGCAGUGGGGAAUAUUGCACAAUGGGCGCAAGCCUGAUGCAGCGACGCCGCGUGAGGGAUGACGGCCUUCGGGUUGUAAACCUCUUUCAGUAGGGAAGAAGCGAAAGUGACGGUACCUGCAGAAGAAGCACCGGCUAACUACGUGCCAGCAGCCGCGGUAAUACGUAGGGUGCGAGCGUUA